rnacentral:lncRNA from 1 species
UCUCGGUCCCCCAAAGAGAACGGCAAAGGAGACAUAAAGUCAAAGUCCAGAUCCCGGAGCCAGUCUCGGUCCCACUCGCCUCUACCUGCUCCACCCUCAAAGGCUCGGUCCAUGUCCCCUCCGCCAAAAAGAGCUUCAAGGUCCCGUUCUAGAUCUCGUUCAAGGUCCAGAUCAAGUUCCAGAGAUUAACCCUGACCUCGACGUUCUUUGCACACUAUAACAGAACACUUUCCUACUUGCUUAGGCAGUUACUCUUCCGAGUUUAUACUCGCCUCUUCUUUAAGAGGAUUUCCUGAAAAGGGAACACCGGAAUUUGAUUUGUGGCCAAAUUUACUGAGAAAAAGAUGAGGUUCUAAAAUGGUGGUAUGAAGCCCUCUCCCUUCUUUGUAGAAUUAAGAUAAUUUUGAUUUUGUAGCCUUUGAGCUAAAAUAACUUUUGUAAAGAUUAAGCUCAUUUAGAUUUUUUUUAAAGUAUUGCAGCAGGAUCUGCUGCAGGGUUCUGUUGUUUUGUUUUGCUUAUUUUUAAAUUAACUGUUCAGGCUUUGGAUACUGCAGGCUUUAGAGGGAGAACCCAAAUUUUCAAUUAUGUUGGCUUUUUAUAAAGCUUGAGUUAUGUAAGAUUUAAAUAAAAGUUUGCUACCAAGAUGAUUGCCUUAUUGAAUAGGUCACUACUAAGGCCCUUAAGUGUUGAUACCUGCCAUGUGUGGAGACAGUGUAAAUUCUACAUGAGUGUGAAACAAGGCAAGUCUCAGACCAGCAAUAAAUUAUUCAGUUUGGCU